AACGAACGCUGGCGGCAGGCCUAACACAUGCAAGUCGAGCGAAGCCUUCGGGCUUAGCGGCGGACGGGUGAGUAACGCGUGGGAACGUGCCCUUUGCUACGGAAUAGCCCCGGGAAACUGGGAGUAAUACCGUAUGUGCCCUUCGGGGGGAAAGAUUUAUCGGCAAAGGAUCGGCCCGCGUUGGAUUAGGUAGUUGGUGGGGUAAUGGCCUACCAAGCCGACGAUCCAUAGCUGGUUUGAGAGGAUGAUCAGCCACACUGGGACUGAGACACGGCCCAGACUCCUACGGGAGGCAGCAGUGGGGAAUCUUGGACAAUGGGGGAAACCCUGAUCUAGCCAUGCCGCGUGAUCGAUGAAGGCCUUAGGGUUGUAAGAUCGUUCAGUGGGGAAGAUAAUGACUGUACCCACAGAAGAAGCCCCGGCUAACUCCGUGCCAGCAGCCGCCGUAACAC
rnacentral:rRNA from 1 species